GCCAGGUGUGGUGGCACAUGCCUGUAAUCCCAGCAGCUUGGGAGUCUGAGGCAGGAGGAUUGCAAGUUCAAAGCCAGCUUUAGCAACUUAGUGUAGGCCAUAAGCAACUUAGCAAGACUCUGUCUCUA
rnacentral:sRNA from 1 species